UCGGAUGGAUCUAUUGAGCGUUACAAAGCGCGACUUGUUGCUCGCGGUUUUCGGCAGCGUCAUGGUCUUGACUAUGAGGACACCUUCAGUCCUGUCAUCAAGCCUACCACUAUUCGGCUUCUUCUCUCCAUUGUUGUUUCUCGUGGUUGGUCACUUCGUCAACUUGAUGUGCAGAAUGCUUUUCUACAUGGAUUUUUGGAGGAAGAGGUUUAUAUGAAACAACCACCUGGUUUCUCUGAUCCUGAUCGUCCUGACUAUAUCUGUCGUCUUUCCAAAGCACUAUAUGGUUUGAAGCAAGCUCCUCGUGCCUGGCAUGCCCGCCUUGCCUCUGCCCUUCGUGCUCAUGGGUUUGUGCCGUCCACUGCUGACACUUCAUUAUUUCUUCUACAGAAGCCAGAAGUCACUAUGUAUCUUUUGGUAUAUGUCGAUGAUAUUAUCCUUGUCAGCUCUUCUCAGUAUGCUGCUAAUGCUCUUGUCUGCUCUCUUGGUGCUGAUUUUGCGGUCAAAGAUCUUGGGAAGCUUCACUACUUUCUUGGAGUUGAGGUCACUUCUCGUGCUACUGGUCUUGUCCUUACGCAGAAGAAGUACUCCUUGGAGUUGUUACAAAGAGCUGGCAUGCUGAAGUGCAAACCGACCACCACACCCAUGUCGUCUACCGACAAGAUAACAGUUGUUGAUGGUGAGCUUUUGUCUCCUGCGGACGCCACAGAGUACAGGAGCAUUGUUGGUGGACUUCAGUACUUGACGAUCACGAGACCAGAUAUCUCUUAUGCUGUUAACAGGGUUUGUCAGUAUCUUCAGGCUCCCAGAGAUACUCAUUGGGCUGCUGUUAAACGCAUUCUUCGUUAUGUUCAGUUCACCCUGACAUUUGGUAUGCAUAUUCGGCCGACUUCCUCUCGGGUCCUUUCGGCCUUCUCUGAUGCAGAUUGGGCUGGUAGCCCAGAUGACAGGCGAUCCACG
rnacentral:rRNA from 1 species